rnacentral:rRNA from 1 species
GAUGAACGCUGGCGGCGUGCCUAAUACAUGCAAGUCGAGCGAACAGACGAGGAGCUUGUUCCUCUGACGUUAGCGGCGGACGGGUGAGUAACACGUGGAUAACCUACCUAUAAGACUGGGAUAACUUCGGGAAACCGGAGCUAAUACCGGAUAAUAUAUUGAACCGCAUGGUUCAAUAGUGAAAGACGGUUUUGCUGUCACUUAUAGAUGGAUCCGCGCCGCAUUAGCUAGUUGGUAAGGUACGGCUUACCAAGGCGACGAUGCGUAGCCGACCUGAGAGGGUGAUCGGCCACACUGGAACUGAGACACGGUCCAGACUCCUACGGGAGGCAGCAGUAGGGAAUCUUCCGCAAUGGGCGAAAGCCUGACGGAGCAACGCCGCGUGAGUGAUGAAGGUCUUCGGAUCGUAAAACUCUGUUAUUAGGGAAGAACAAAUGUGUAAGUAACUAUGCACGUCUUGACGGUACCUAAUCAGAAAGCCACGGCUAACUACGUG